rnacentral:tRNA from 1 species
CAGAGAGUAGUUUAAGGAGAAUUUCAGCUUUGGGUGCUGAUGGUGGGACUUUAGGCCCCCUCUUUGA